GACGAACGCUGGCGGCGUGCUUAACACAUGCAAGUCGCACGGAAAGGCUCUGCUUGCAGGGUACUCGAGUGGCGAACGGGUGAGUAACACGUGGGUGAUCUGCCCUGAACUUCGGGCUAAGCUUGGGAAACUGGGUCUAAUACCGGAUAGGACAGAACUUUAGAGUGCGUGGUGGAAAGUUUUUUUGGUGUAGGAUGAGCUCGCGGCGUAGCAGCUUGGUGGUGGGGUAAGGGCCUACCAAGGCGGCGACGGGUAGCCGGCGGUAGAGGGUGUACGGCCACAGUCGGACUGGGACACAGCCCAGACGCCUACUGGAGGCAGAGGUAGCGAAUAUUGCACAAUGGGCGCAAGCCUGAUCCAGCGACGCCACGUGGGGGAUGAAGGCCUUCGGGUUGUAAUCGCCUUUCGCUAGUGACGAAGCUUUUUGUGACGGUACCUAGAUAAGAAGCACCGGCUAACUACGUG
rnacentral:rRNA from 1 species